GGCCAGGCUGCUUGCUGCUUCCCACAACCUAGUGGCACAGCUAUCAACGGAGGAGCGCAAAGAGAGGUUCUGACGAUCUACCUGAGUUUUGGGCGUGGCUGAUGAAGAUGGUGGCCGGAAUUUUGAAUCUUGAAACUAGCUAAAUUUGUAACGGAUAGAAUAUAAAUGAGUUUAUUUGUAAUUUGUAAAAUCUUUUUUUUGUUUCUUAAAUUCGUUACUGCUGGCGCAUAGCCUUCGUUGCCGGGGGUAACUGAUUUUAAUUUUUUUUAGUUCUUUAAAUAUGUA